UACGUAGGGGGCGAGCGUUGUCCGGAUUUAUUGGGCGUAAAGCGCGGGCAGGCGGCCCGGUAAGUCGGCCGUGAAAGCGCCGGGCUCAACUCGGCGAGGACGGGCGAGACUGCAGGGCUGGAGCAAGGCAGAGGGCGGUGGAAUUCCGGGUGUAGUGGUGGAAUGCGUAGAGCUCCGGAGGAACACCAGUGGCGAAGGCGGCCGCCUGGGCCUUUGCUGACGCUGAGGAGCGAAAGCGUGGGGAGCGAACAGG
rnacentral:rRNA from 1 species